GGCUCGAUGGCGGACGGUCCGCGUCUGCACCACAUAUAUGUAUAUGAUUGAAUGUCUCAUCAGCAGAAGAUUUCCGUUCGACUCGGGGUCGAGCCA